rnacentral:tRNA from 1 species
GAAAACCGGUAUAGUUCUAGGAACUAUCGAGGGUUCGAAUCCCUCUCUCUCCU